ACGGAAGGCAGCAGUCGGGAAUAUUGCGCAAUGGAGGAAACUCUGACGCAGUGACGCCGCGUAUAGGACGAAGGUCUUCGGAUUGUAAACUAUUGUCGUUAGGGAAGAGAAAGGACAGUACCUAAGGAGGAAGCUCCGGCUAACUACGUGCCAGCAGCCGCGGUAAUACGUAGGGAGCAAGCGUUAUCCGGAUUUAUUGGGUGUAAAGGGUGCGUAGACGGGAAGUUAAGUUAGUUGUGAAAUCCCUCGGCUCAACUGAGGAACUGCAACUAAAACUGGCUUUCUUGAGUGUUGGAGAGGAAAGCGGAAUUCCUAGUGUAGCGGUGAAAUGCGUAGAUAUUAGGAGGAACACCAGUGGCGAAGGCGGCUUUCUGGACAAUAACUGACGUUGAGGCACGAAAGUGUGGGGAGCAAACAGGAUUAGAUACCCUGGUA
rnacentral:rRNA from 2 species